rnacentral:rRNA from 1 species
GAUGAACGCUAGCUACAGGCUUAACACAUGCAAGUCGAGGGGCAGCAUGGUCUUAGCUUGCUAAGGCCGAUGGCGACCGGCGCACGGGUGAGUAACACGUAUCCAACCUGCCGUCUACUCUUGGACAGCCUUCUGAAAGGAAGAUUAAUACAAGAUGGCAUCAUGAGUCCGCAUGUUCACAUGAUUAAAGGUAUUCCGGUAGACGAUGGGGAUGCGUUCCAUUAGAUAGUAGGCGGGGUAACGGCCCACCUAGUCUUCGAUGGAUAGGGGUUCUGAGAGGAAGGUCCCCCACAUUGGAACUGAGACACGGUCCAAACUCCUACGGGAGGCAGCAGUGAGGAAUAUUGGUCAAUGGGCGAGAGCCUGAACCAGCCAAGUAGCGUGAAGGAUGACUGCCCUAUGGGUUGUAAACUUCUUUUAUAAAGGAAUAAAGUCGGGUAUGGAUACCCGUUUGCAUGUACUUUAUGAAUAAGGAUCGGCUAACUCCGUGCCAGCAGCCGCGGUAAUACGGAGGAUCCGAGCGUUAUCCGGAUUUAUUGGGUUUAAAGGAAGCGUAGAUGGAUGUUUAAGUCAGUUGUGAAAGUUUGCGGCUCAACCGUAAAAUUGCAGUUGAUACUGGAUAUCUUGAGUGCAGUUGAGGCAGGCGGAAUUCGUGGUGUAGCGGUGAAAUGCUUAGAUAUCACGAAGAACUCCGAUUGCGAAGGCAGCCUGCUAAGCUGCAACUGACAUUGAGGCUCGAAAGUGUGGGUAUCAAACAGGAUUAGAUACCCUGGUAGUCCACACGGUAAACGAUGAAUACUCGCUGUUUGCGAUAUACUGCAAGCGGCCAAGCGAAAGCGUUAAGUAUUCCACCUGGGGAGUACGCCGGCAACGGUGAAACUCAAAGGAAUUGACGGGGGCCCGCACAAGCGGAGGAACAUGUGGUUUAAUUCGAUGAUACGCGAGGAACCUUACCCGGGCUUAAAUUGCAGAUGAAUUACGGUGAAAGCCGUAAGCCGCAAGGCAUCUGUGAAGGUGCUGCAUGGUUGUCGUCAGCUCGUGCCGUGAGGUGUCGGCUUAAGUGCCAUAACGAGCGCAACCCUUGUUGUCAGUUACUAACAGGUUCCGCUGAGGACUCUGACAAGACUGCCAUCGUAAGAUGUGAGGAAGGUGGGGAUGACGUCAAAUCAGCACGGCCCUUACGUCCGGGGCUACACACGUGUUACAAUGGGGGGUACAGAGGGCCGCUACCACGCGAGUGGAUGCCAAUCCCCAAAACCUCUCUCAGUUCGGACUGGAGUCUGCAACCCGACUCCACGAAGCUGGAUUCGCUAGUAAUCGCGCAUCAGCCACGGCGCGGUGAAUACGUUCCCGGGCCU